rnacentral:rRNA from 1 species
UAUCAAUAAGCGGAGGAAAAAGAACCUAACAAGGAUUCCCCUAGUAACUGCGAGUGAAGCGGGAAAAGCUCAAAUUUAAAAUCUGGUGGUUUUGCCAUCCGAGUUGUAAUCUGGAGAAGCGUUUUCUGUGCUGGACCGUGUACAAGUCUCUUGGAACAGAGCGUCAUAGAGGGUGAGAAUCCCGUCCAUGACACGGACACCCAGUGCUAUGUGAUACGUUUUCAAAGAGUCGAGUUGUUUGGGAAUGCAGCUCAAAAUGGGUGGUAAGCUCCAUCUAAAGCUAAAUAUUGGCGAGAGACCGAUAGCGAACAAGUACCGUGAGGGAAAGAUGAAAAGCACUUUGGAAAGAGAGUUAAACAGUACGUGAAAUUGUUGAAAGGGAAACGCUUGAAGUUAGUCGCGUCUUACUUGACUCAGCCUUGCUUCGGCUUGGUGUAUUUCAUGUGAGACGGGUCAACAUCGAUUUUGACCGGCAGACAAGGGGAGUAAGAAUGUGGCACUCUUCGGAGUGUGUUAUAGCUUAUUCUCAUAUGUGUCGGUUGGGAUCGAGGACCGCAGCGCGCCCUUGUGGCCGGAGGUUCGCCUCACGUUACGCGCUUAGGAUGUUGGCAUAAUGGCUUUAAGCGACCCGUCUUGAAACACGGACCAAGGAGUCUAACAUGCUCGCGAGUGUUAGGGUGGAAAACCCUUGCGCAGAAUGAAAGUAAAAGUUGGGAACCUCCGCAAGGGGGCGCACCGACGCCCGGCCCAGAAGUUUACGGACGGUGCUGCGGUAGAGCGCGUAUGUUGGGACCCGAAAGAUGGUGAACUAUGCCUGAAUAGGGCGAAGCCAGGGGAAACCCUGUGUGGAGGCUCGUAGCGAUUCUGACGUGCAAAUCGAUCGUCAAAUUUGGGUAUAGGGGCGAAAGACUAAUCGAACCAUCUAGUAGCUGG